UAUGUGUGUUCAUGCAUGUAUUUAUGAAUGAAUGUAUGCAUGUAUUUAUGAAUGAAUGUAUGCAUGCAUGUAUGAAUGAAUGCAUGCAUGUAUGAAUGAAUGCAUGCAUGCAUCUGUAUAUCAGAACUGCAGAAAAUAAGUAGGAUGAACUCAACUUAAUGAGCAAUCCUUUACAAAAAUAUACUUGAAAAUAAAACCAUAAAAUCUUAAACUGGACUGAGCAAGCAC
rnacentral:lncRNA from 1 species